CUACGUGCCAGCAGCCGCGGUAAUACGGAAGGUCCAGGCGUUAUCCGGAUUUAUUGGGUUUAAAGGGAGCGUAGGCGGACGAUUAAGUCAGCUGUGAAAGUUUGCGGCUCAACCGUAAAAUUGCAGUUGAAACUGGUUGUCUUGAGUGCACGCAGGGAUGUUGGAAUUCAUGGUGUAGCGGUGAAAUGCUUAGAUAUCAUGAAGAACUCCGAUCGCGAAGGCAUAUGUCUGGAGUGCAACUGACGCUGAGGCUCGAAAGUGCGGGUAUCGAACAGGAUUAGAUACCCUGGUAGUCCGCACAGUAAACGAUGAAUACUCGCAGUGUGCGAUAUACUGUAUGCUGCCAAGUGAAAACGUUAAGUAUUCCACCUGGGGAGUACGCCGGCAACGGUGAAACUCAAAGGAAUUGACGGGGGCCCGCACAAGCGGAGGAACAUGUGGUUUAAUUCGAUGAUACGCGAGGAACCUUACCCGGGCUUGAAC
rnacentral:rRNA from 1 species